AAGUCUUCUAAUGGGUUUUAUUUAACAUAACUACAUCUCUUUAAAAUUCCAAAUUCCAAAUAAGCAUUAGUACUAAGGGCUACUAAAAACUUUCUAUCUAGAAAGCAAUGCUUUAGAUAUUAUUUUAGUAGCGGAUUGCAGAGGAAUUAAUAUAUUUGCCAAGUAAGGAAGUAUAAAGAGAAAGCAAAAGGGUAGUGAGAAGAGAGCCUUGUGGAACUCCAACUGAGACAGGAUUAUGGGAGGAGGUGUUAUUAGAAAAAGAGACACUGAAUGAAAGUUGGGAGAGAUUGGACAAGAACCACAAAUGGACAGUGUCACAGGGACAAAGGGAGUAAAAGAGUUUGCAGAAGGAGAAAAUGACCAACAGUGACCAAGGCAGCAGAGGAGUAUAGAAGAAUUAGUAUGGACGUAUUGAUUUAGCAACACUUAGAUUGUUACUAACUUUAAUCAGACCAAUCUCAGUAGAAAGGGGGCAGAAGCCAGAUUGAAGAGGGUCAAGGAGAGAGUUGGAAUUGAGAAAGCAUGUCCGUCUUUCCAGAAGCUUUGAGGAGAAAGGAAGUAGAAGGUAGCUAUAAGGGGAAGAUGGCUUUUUUAGGAUUAGUAAGACAGUAGCAUGCUUACAGGGAGCAGGGACAAUGCCAGAAGAAAGACAGCAUUUGAAGAUAUGCAUUAAGGAUGGCACAGGGCAAUGGGAGAGAGAUCUGAUAAGUUGAGAUGAAACAAGAUCAAGCUGAAAAGUCUUGUGGCCAAAUUAAAGUAGAAAGGCAGCCACCUCUUGUUCAGUAGCUGGAGAUAAGGCCUGGAGAGUUGGAAAGGUGCAGUCCAAGUGUGAUUGAGAGAGGGUGGAGAAGGGUGGAUAAUUAUUUCCUUAAUGGAUUUCUCUUGCCAGAACUAACAGCUUUGUUUGAGGGGUGGCCACGGCAGGGUGAUGAAGAGAGUUGAAAGUAUCAAAGAGAUGUCUGAGAUUGUGGGACUAAACCAAUGAGAGAGGAAAUGUGUGGCUGAUUAACUAGGGUGAGGUUUAUGCUGUAUGAGCACAAAAUUAAUUUGUAAUGGAAAUAAUAAGAUGCAAGAUUUCCCCCAGCAGUGUUUAGUUGAACAAGAGAAUCUCUGUAGGUAGUGGGUCAACUUAGUGUGCCAUAGUUAGAGGCACAUCCUCCUUGUGACGUUUGUUUGGAGUGGGGCUGUACUGUCCAAGGUAGAGGUGAGGGUAGUGUUGUACGAGGACAAGCACUUGGCUGCAGAUGAAUGGGAGUAACAGGCUGCCUGUUAUAUGCCACCCUCACCAGUAACCCAUGAUGCUUGGCUCAAGGCUUCUAGAAGCUUUUAGAAGAUGAUUUUUUGAAACUGCCGCAAAAUACAGCAAAACCCAAAAACUAUUUUUAAAAAGGGAAAUAAUGUAAAAAAUAUUCUAGCUCUGAGCACUUUCCGAAAUAUAGACUGUAGGGAUGAACGCAAUGUUGGCUUUCAUACUUGUGGUAAUUGCAAAGCGUGUAGACAUUCUUAUAAGAUCUAUAAACAAUUUAGGAGUAAACAGACACUUGAAGUUUUUAAAAUUAAUAGUCAGAUCUCAUGUUCCUCCACACAUGUUGUGUACCUGAUCACUUGUGGUUGUGGUGCACAAUAUGUAGGGAGGACAGGCUAAAAUAAGAUAUUUAGAACAUUACAACAAUAUACACACAAAAAAUUACCACACAUUCGGUCCCCUUACACUGUAAUUCAUGUCCAUCCUUUUCAGGCAAUCUUAAUUUUAUUGCUAUAGAACAAGUGCAAUUAGAUAAGAGAGGAGGAGAUUUGAUGUUAAAAUUAAGGAAAAGGGAAGGUGGUUUUUUUAAAUAAUAUUUGUAUUAAAUUUUGUAUUAAUUGAUAAAUUUUUCAUUUUUUUAAUUUAUAAUCUGUACUAGAGACUCCCCCUGUAUCUUUUAGGGGAUUUUUAGAUUGUUCUUGAUAUGUAGGGUGACAUAAUGAGUCCUUCUGACCUUGUAUCUGUCCAUUUAUCUUUCAAGUGAUAUAUUUAGGAAUGUAUUUAAGCACUUAUUCAGAGCAUGUUAAACCUUCUGUUUUUAUACUUUAUUGCACAAGAUAAUUAUAAGAUUUUGAUAUAUGUUUUCAAUUUUAUGUUUUUAUUUACAUGUAAUUACCGAGCACCAUCGGGACUUUGUAUGAGAUGAUAUUAUGAAUUUGUUGACAUGCAUCGCCAUGAAUGUAACGCAAGCGCUAAACCGGUCUCCAAGCAAAUGGAAUGCAUACGUGCAACAUCCGUACUGUAUUUAUUCAUACCCAAUAAAUGUUUUAAUUACCGAAAAGGUGUUAUUCUUAAUCCAUACGGAGAUUAACCUGUGGACUACAAUUGAUGGAAGAUACCGGCUUGGGAUUUUGAUAUGUCUAAAUAUCACUUCAAUUUUGUAAGUGUUAUCUAUUAAAAGGCCAAAUACAGCGAUAUGCCUAAAUAUCACUUCAAUUUUAUAAGUGUUAUCCAUUAAAACGCCAAAUACAGUAUAUACUUAUUUGUUCUGUCUUUUACUCUCUCCUACAUGCCCAUUCUUGUAUUGAGGAUUCUUUAUCAUCUCUAAAACAUUUGAUAUGCCUACAAUCAAUACACGUUUGUGAGAGCAACUUUAAAAAUUACCACUAGAAAUUGUGUUUACUGUACUACUCUGUGAGUAUUUUUUUGUUUCCUUUUACUGUAGAUUCUUUUUUGUUUGUAUACAUUGUGGGGACUGGGAGGAGUCCUGUGAUAUAUUCUACAGUUUUGAAGAUUGUAGGUAAAUUACCUUGUAAGGUUUUAUUCACAUAUGGUGUGUUUUUCCACUUUAUCAAUUAGGGUGUUACUUUAUAUAAUAUAUCUUCUAGAGUAUGUGCAGUUAAGACUGUAUGAGCAGUAAUUUCUACAUGGCUCUGCUCCCUAAGACUCAACACAGUGAUCUCAGAUUCUAGAAGACAAAAUGUGAAGAGAGUAUUAUACAGGGCAGGUACAGACAAGCACACUGUGACAAACUGCUAUGCACACACACUGACGGACACACAGACACACACGAACGCACACUGUUCCUACAUACUCUACUAUGCACAAACAUAAACUUCUACGUACAUGCACAUACAUGUACAUCCUACUACAGACAGUGAGACAAUGUCUACAAACACUAACAAAGACAUACACUUAUUCAUACAUAUACACACAGACAUAGAAACACACAUACGUGCACAUUAUGUGUAUGUAUAUAUUUGUUUUUCUUAGCAUAUAUAUAUAAAUCUCUUUUUUGUUGAGGUUUUAAUGAGAAGACUUUGGCUAUUCCUGUGCUUAUGGAUGUAAAUAGAGCCACAACAAUACAGUAAAUAUUUACAUUAAAGAAAGGACAUUCACUAUACUUCAGGUAUCUGCGGCCUCACACUGUUGUUUUGUCCUGCUGGUUGUUACUGCUCUGUAGACAGCAGGAAAACAUGAUUAUAUAUUCAACCGGCAGCACAAUGAAGAAAAGCAUAAAAGUUUUCAAAGUAAAUUUAGACAAAAGUAAAACUUGUUUUUUUAAUUAAAAGCAACAUAGAGUAUAAUUAAAAGCAGAGUAUUCCUAAGACUAAGUGUGAUUUUGUCCACAUGAAAUGUGAGGUGGCACUUACCCUCACUGUGUGUUAUCCUGUGUGUUAUAGCUGCUUUUAAUUAUGAAGUAAUAAAGAAUCAAGUUUUAAUUACAACUGAAUUUACUCUGAAAAUGUUUUGCUUUUCGCAGUGGAAUGUGUAAUAAUUGAGGGGCAAACUUUGCAUUCAUGGAUGUUCCACAUUGUUGCAGAUUUUAAAUCCACCUCUGCCCUCCAGAAAAUAAUAUUAUAUAAUGAUAGGAUAAUAUGAGAAUUCGAAGUGACUUUUUAAAUUUAAAGGGAGAUUAUAGUCACCAAAAAAAAAAUAGCGUAAUAAAGUACUUUUGGUAUAUAGAUCAUUCCUAUGAAGUAUCACUGCUCAAUUCUAUGCCAUUUAGGAGUUAAAUCACUUUUGUUUCUUUUUAUGCAACCCUAGCCACACCUCCCUUGACUGUGACUGAGACAGCCGGCAUAAAACGUUUUUUUUUUUCAAUCAGAUGUUAACUGACGUUAGAAGUAUUUCUCUCCUGCUCUGUAAAUUUAACUUUAAUCACAUACAGGAGGCUCCAGCAAGGUCUAGCAAACUACUAACAGUGAAGCGGAGCCCUAGUCUUGGAAGUGACUUUCCUCCGCUGGAUCACCAAGUGUAGAAUCAGGAAAAGAAAAUGGCAAGUAAGUAGCCCCCCUCCUCUCCAGCAACUGGACAACACACAGUUCUGGGAGUACAACUGAUUUUAUUUCUGCCACACACAGCUUUUAUGCAUUGCCCCUAAGUCAAGAAUACAAGAUUUUCUUUCCCAAGAGCCUCUGUGUUUGAGAGAUAAUUGAACUCCAAUUAGUAUAACUCAAUUCUCUCUCAAAUACAGAAACUUACAGAUAUUUUUAAUAUACCCCAAAAAUACAUGAACACAGUACAGGAACCCAACAAAAAUCAUGUUACCGAAUAGCCCCAAACUAAGUGCACAACAUAUACAAAAAGCGCUCAGAUCUUUUUGUUAGAAAGAAAGUUAUAAUCAAACACAAUUUUGACUGACCACUCGGCUUUCGGGGGUUCCUGUGUGAACACCGACGAACGCUCCCCCUAGCUGCUAUGGAGCAAAUGCUCCCCCUGUUUGGUAGAUCCUAUCUCCCGAACACCGUUUGUCUAGGUCAGCAUUUUUCAAUUGGUGUUCCAGGGUUCCGCCGUGAUUAUCGCAAAUCAGGGGCCUGGUCAGGUGCCGUGGCCCUUUAAGAGCAUGACCGGGCCCCUGUACUAUCGGCCGGUUGGGAGGAAGUGAUAGCACUUCCUCCCAACUUCACAGAGUUGCUGCCGCGUGGUAGAGAGGGAGGAGGCCCUGUCACUGGGGGGCAGAACCAAUGGCCACCCAGAGAGUGAGCAGCAUGGAUAGCAGAGGAGAGACUGGAGUGAACAAACAGCAGCUCACUCCCAUGAGCCUCAGCCAACAUCACCAGGACCACAAGUAAGCCACCCUCCUGGACACACAAGUUAACAGGAGGGUGACUCUGAUGUAUGUCAUAUUGUGUGUAUGUGCCAGUGUGUGUAUGUGUCACUGUGUGACAGUGUGUGGCUGCGUGGGUGCCAGUGUGUACCUGUGUGUCAAGGUGUGUGAAUGUGCCUAUGUGUGUGUGUGUAUAUGUCAGUGUAUGUGUAUCUGAGUGUUUGUCAGUGUGUAUAUCUGAGUGUGUGAAUGUGUCAGUGUUUGUAUUUGUGGGUGCAAGUGUGUGUAUAUGUCACUGUGUGUAUCUGGUGUGUGCAUUUGUGAGUCAAGAAGUGUGUAUCUAAGUGUGUGUAUGUGUAUCUGAGUGUGUGUAUCUGUGUGUCAAGGUGUGUGUGUCAGUGUGUGUUAAUCUGUGUGUCAGUGUGUGGGUGCAUGGGUGCUAGUGUGUACCUGUGUGUCAAGGUGUGUGAAUGUGCCAGUGUAUAUCAAUGUGUUUGUAUGUGCCUAUGUGUGUGUGUGUAUAUGUCAGUGUGUGUGUGUGUCAGAGUGUAUAUCUGAGUGUGUGAAUGUGUCAGUGUUUGUAUGUGUGGGUGCAAGUGUUUGUAUAUGUCACUGUGUGUAUCUGGUGUGUGCAUUUGUGAGUCAGGAUGUGUGUAUCUGAGUGUGUGUAUGUGUAUCUGAGUGUGUGUAUCUGUGUGUCAAGGUGUGUGUGUCAGUGUGUGUAUCUGUGUGCCACUAUGUGCCAGUGUGUGUAUCUGUGUGUUAUAUACAUACACACACACACACACACACAGAUACACAAAAAUACAAACACUGGCCCAUACAAAUACAGAUACAUACACCUUGACACAUACAAACACAGAUACACACACUUUGACACAUAGAUGCACACACCUUGACACACAGAUACAUACACACACAGAUACAUAUACACACACACAGAGAUACACACUGUGUGUGUCAAGGUGUGUGUAUCUGUGUGUCAAUGUGUGUAUCUGUGUGCCAGUGUGUGUAUCUCUAUGUCAGAUACACAGACACACACACAGAUACACACGGACACACAGAUACACACACUGGCACAUACAAACACAGAUACACACACUUUAACAUACAGAUACACACACUUUGACACACAGAUGCACACACACACACACAGAUACACACUAUGUGUCAAGGUGUAUGUAUCUGUGUGUCAAAGUGUGUGUAUGUGUGCCACUAUGUGCCAGUUUGUGUUUCUGUGUGUCAGAUUCAUACACACUGACACACAGAUGCACACACUGGCACAUACAAACACAGAUACACACACCUUGAUUCACACAAACACACACACACAUACUGUGUGUCAAGGUGUAUGUAUCUGUGUGUCAGUGUGUGUAUCUGUGUUCCAGUGUGUGUGUGUGUAUCUGUGUGUCAGAUACACACACACACACAGAUACACAUUGACACACAGAUUUACACACUGACACAUACAAACACAGAUACACACACCUUGACACACAGACACACACCGGCACAUACAAAAAAAAGUUUCACAUUUUUUUUACCAAGGAAAGGAGGGGGACUGGUGGGGUUCCACAAUGUUGAUACACUAUGUCAAAGGGUUCCAUGGGAAAAAUUUAUUGGAAACCCCUGGUCUAGGUGGUUGGGAAUUGGGACGGGCAGCAGUACCAUCUUUGCCCGGAUUCGCAGAGACUCAAGGCUGAAAACAGUUCCAGGUGUUCCACGACCAAGUACCGCUGCCUGCGUUCAGGAGACAAAAUGCCAGCCACCCAGGAAAUGGACUCAAGCGAAGGUGUUAAGUCGUUCAUUUGUUAUUAACAGCAAGGGGAGGUCGUUGUUCACUGGGUGGAGGGGGAGAGGGGGCAUAACAAGACCAAUCUCACCACAUUGCAUUGGAGAAGCCUGGUUGCUCGACUGUCUCCCCUUUGGACACACAGCUCUGUCUGUUCACUGCUUGACCCUCAACACAGAGCUUUGUCUCAUUCUUGGGGGGAUUUAUUGUAUGCUGUUCCAGUUUGACUGCUAGGAGUGUAAACCUAUUCGUAUGGUUUUUCCUAUUUGGCUGUUUACGGCAUUCAUAUGGUUUCCUGUUCGGCUGAUUGGUGUUCUGCAGUAGCUGUGCCUGUGUCUCUGGAAGGGUAAGAUCUACUAAAUGGUGGUUUAACCCUUUUAUGCCUGGGGGUGCCGUUACAAUUGGUGGCAAGUGGCGGGAUCGUUCCUACAGCCAGAAGGACAGCUACAGGAGACACCAUUUCUUUGGAUUUACAAAUUGAGGGCAACGCAUGUCUAAAUACAGCGACCCUGACAGCACCAGGAUGGAACCAGCAGUGGAGUACGAUGAGGGUGUCAUGGAUGACCGAGAUGCAGUUCGCAAAGGCAUCUGGUACCAGGCAUUGGGCAUUUUGGAGUACCAGCGGGGCGAGAGACUCCCCAAGGAAGACCAGCGAUUGCAGAAGCGACUAGCCCUGCGGAUGCCCUUCCUGGGAGAGCAGCCCCUGGAGGAAUGGGUGAAGGAAUUGGAGCUUCUGGUAUGGCAGGAGAUUUGGCGGGAAGAAGCCUACCAGGCGCUCUGGUGGUAUGGGGCACAGUACCUGCCCUGGACAGUCGAGCAUGACAAGCCAGAGGGAGAGGAGUUUGAUGGUCCUGGUUUGUUAUGGGAGGCUUUUUCAGAGCCUGAGUUUGGGAGCUCUACACAAACCCGGUUCAGUGAUCUCUUGGAGUGGAGGGAGAGCAGGUAUGACUGGGACGACACUCAUGAGAUUGAGAAAGACCUGGUCCACCAAGUGACCCAAGAGAUGGAGCUGGAGCAGGGCUACCAAGAUCUGUUCCACUCCAGUGACAAGGCUCAGCAGGGAAGCGGAGACCCAGAUCCAUACCCAUUCAGCUGGGCAGAUAUUGCAGAAUGUUACUGGGAAGAACCCCAGGUGGCUGGUGGAGAUGGGACCGAGGUCUCUCCACCGGUCCUGCAGGGAAUUGGGAGCCCAGUCUCCAUUCCCCAGCAGGAGAUAUUGCAGGGAAUUGGGAGCCCAAGCUCCAUUCCCCAGCGGCAGGCUGAGUUACAGGGGACAGAGAUAGUUGCUUCUGUCCCCCAGCAGCAGAGUGAAUUGCAGGGAAUUGGGAGCCCAAGCUCCAUUCCCCAGCAGCAGGCUGAGUUACAGGGGACAGAGAUAGUUGGUCCUGUCCCCCAGCGGCAGUGUACCUUGCAGGGAGAGGAGAGCAGCGUCCUCCCUCCAAAGUGGCAGGGUGAGCUACAGGGAUGCUGGGCAGUCGGCUCAGAUCCCCAGAGGCAGUGUGAAUUACAGGGAAUUGGGAGCCCAGUCUCCAUUCCCAGUGGCAGUAUGAGUCAUUGGGAAUUGGGAGCCCAGUCUCCAUUCCCCAGCGGGACAUACAGCAGGGAAUUGGGAGCCAAGUCUCCAUUUCCCAGUGGCAGAGUGUCCUACAGGGAAUAGAGAGCCCAGUCUCCUUUCCCCAGCAGCAGGACUCUGUAUUGGGAACAGAGACAGUCGGUCUCCGCCCCCCGCAGCUGGAAAUAUAUAUGGGAGAGGAGCUUGUUACCCCCUCUCCCCAGCGGCAGCUUAACAUACCAGGGGGGGACAGUAAACCCCACAACCAUGCAGAUGGGGCCGUGGUCUCUGCACUUACAGCACAGGGGGUAGGGACGGUCGGUUCUGCCCCCCAGCGACAGGGCUGUUUAGCCAAAGGGGAGACAGUCGGUCUCCCCCUCCAGCAACCGAGUGGUGUAACCAAAGGGGAGACAGUCGGUCUCCCCCUCCAACAACCAGGCUUCAACCAGGCUACUCCCUUGGUAGCGCUGGCACCAGGGCAGAGUACCUCUGGUCUCUUCCCACUCAGCAACCCACCAAGUUAGCUUACCAGUCACCCACACAGCCGUGGUGAGGCACCUGGACAUGGACAAAGUUCUCCUCUACCCAGGCGUAGUAACCAUUUAUUGUGGGUGGGCUGUAUUACUGUUUGUGUGUUGUGGGUGGGCUGCUGGACUAACAAGGGCACUGACCGGCAGGAGGUCAGAUACCCUGUUAGUCUGUUUGGAAAAGGGGAGAGAUGUGACGAGACCAAUCUCGCCACAACAAGGGACCACACUCAAGUCUUUCAGGAGACAAACAAGGGGAUAUGGACAACCAAACAUAAGGGAAUGGAGUCUGCUACAAACAGGGCAUGAGAUAAGAAAUUCUAAACUAAACAGACUGUUCAAUAAAGGAAGUAUAAACAUUAGAUCUCACUUUAUAGGAAGUAUUUAUUAAGUUUGUGCAUGUUACAUGCUGGGAGUUGUGCCUAGGCUGUAUAAACAAAGUGAUUUAACUCCUGAAUGGCAGAGAAUUAAGCCGUGAGACUGCAGGGGCUUGAUCUAUACACCAAAACGGCUUCAUUAAACUAAAGUUGGUGACUAUAGUGUCUCCUUUAACGGUAAAAAUAGCCAAACUGGAAACAUUCUCCGUUAGCAAUGCUUUCAGUCUGACUACUCUGGCCUUAAAUCAGGAAUGCACUUGAAUUGACUUUGAAUUCUAACUUUUGUAAAUAAUCCUGUGUGCCUUUAAACUGUUACUUGAAGGCACUAUAGUAUAGUAUGUAUAUUUUCUAGUUCAUAGUGUGUUGCUAUAGUUAUUUACAUUUGCCUGUUUCUUGGAGACUAUGUAUUAUAUACAUAGUUCCUUUCUUUUUUUUAAGGGUAUUUUUCUAUACAUUUUUUUUAUACAUAUACUAUUAUUAAAAACAUCUACAUUAUUAUUCAUUCAAAUCAUAUUAAACAUGACUUGUUAUUUCCAGGCCCCAAACAGUGCUUAUUCAUGAAAUAUAACACAUCCAAUUACAAACUACAUAGAUACCUCUAAAUUUAGAUCAAUCAAACAGGAAAACCACCUAAUGGAAAACACACUAUAAGCAUGGAGAAAACAAACUAUUUCAAUUCUUUCUCUUUUUGUGUUCUGCUUCUUGAAACUUUUUGACAGUUCUAAUUACAAGUUCUUUUCUCUACAGCUCAGGAACCAAAGUCACUCUUCCGUUGCCGUGUCUCCUGGGAAAUUUCCUCUGCAGUACUGUCAAAAUCUCCCGACAACUCUGUGUUCUUCUCUGCUCCUCUGAGCUGGAAAAAGAGUUUUGGGAGUGAAUAAUUAUUGACUUAAUUGGAGGGAUGUCUCUGUAUUACAUAGUCAGCAAUGUUGAUAAGGCAGGAUUGGAUGAGAGAUACACAGUGGGAAAUUGCAUUUGCUGUACUUGAUCGUACAUCACUUGCUGAAGAAGCCUAAGUUUGAUGCUACAUGUAAAACUUUAGAACUAAUAACAAAGAAGGUAUAUAGUGUUGGAAUGAACUGUAAAUUAAGUGAUUUGACCCUUGAAAAGCUUUGAAACUCAUUAUUCCAUUUUGAAGAGCAUUGUUCCAUUUAGGAAUCAGCAUUGCAAAUAAGUGGUUCCACUGGUAAAAUUUUAAUUUUAUGUGGUCACACUCAGUUAAGCCUAUAAUACUAAUGAUGUUUAACAGGUAAGCUCAUAUAGUAACUAGCUAGUGAAAAAAAAACACAUUCAACUCAAAAGUCUUCAAAUACAAUUUGAUAUAGUAGGUGAUGGAUCACAUACAUUAUUUGUGUGAAGAUGAACAAUAAGCUGUAUACACCCCUUGUUGUCAAAAAGUUAAUGAGAAAAUGUUUAAUUAUUUAAAGUCAUGAAACAGCUUUUUAACGUUUACAAAAUAUAAACUAAUAAUUAUUACUGGCAAAUCCCUUAGCAAUAAGUAUCUCUCUUUUAUUUUUUUCAAAAUCUAAUUAACAUGCAUAAAUGUAAUUGAUCACUAUCAUGCACU